UCGUAGUCAACGCUUAAUCGAUCGGCUCUGGUCUUUAAGUCCAAUUGAAGCAGGGCGAUCGAGCGGGGGAACCAGCCUAAAUUUUGGGGCGAAUCUUGUGCUGCAAGAAGGCUACUUCCAAGCCUAGCCCGUCAGCUAACCUCGUCAGCCAAUGGAAGGAGAA
rnacentral:sRNA from 2 species